GUUUCAAUUCCUCAUAGGCAGGCUAUCGGCGAAGGCUUUCUAGCCUUCUUUUUACCCUCAUAUGUGAG
rnacentral:sRNA from 1 species